AGGAGAACCAUGGAUUUUUAUGUGCUCAGAGGGGUUGUUCUUCAUUUUAUAGCUUCCUCUUCUCUCUUUUUUUUUUGCAUAUGUUGCUGCUGGAAUCACAGGCCACAUUUUUACGAGAGAAUCUGAAGAGGCAUUUUAAAGCCUGAACAGCUUGACUCAGGCUUUUGAGGAUAUUGCCAGAGACUAAUCUCCUUCUGGACAGUGACCUGCAAUGGGGCUUCUGUCAAUGCUAUUGGUACCAAAACAGGAGGACUAAUCAAGCACUGGGAUUUUGGAAUUGCAGGAACACCUUGAGGUCAAAACCGAUUUGCUGGCUCGGCUUCCUCAUGUAGCAUCUUUAACCCUUUCUCCCCCUUCCUCUCUGGCUCGUGACCUGCCUGGUGCUGUUUCCUAAUUUGAUUAUGCUCUGUGAAUCCUUCUUGUGGGCCAGACUUGAUAUAUUUGGUGACUGCACCUUUUUGAAAGAUCAAAUGGGGAGUGUAUCCAUGUGCAUGAGAGAGAACACAAGAAGAGUGUCAGGAACGCUGAACAUUCAAAGUGCGGGCAUUCAGCUGUGCACAUUUAAUGGAGGCAGCAGAAGACCCUGCGUGGCCCAGGAAGUGUUGAGUCAACUCUUGAGAAAAUGACACAGCGUGUGCUGGCAUUGUUUGUGUGCCAGGAAGUCCAAGUCCUCCCAGAUGACACAGUGUCAACAGACAGCUUGAUUGGCUCACCAGUUAGUGGAUGUUUCACAUGAAAAGGUACCAAAUAUUAGACUGUGGUUUGGUAAAUAUUAAUCAGUCAAGUACCCCCCUUGCUUGUUACCCAUAAAUGGAUCAACAGAAUGGAAAAUAUCUGGGAGAAGGCAAAGUGUCUUGGCACUGUAUUUAUUUAUUUAUUUAUUUUUAUUUACCGUAUUUAACAUGGUUUUUAUACUGCCACCAAACUUGCAUCUCUG